rnacentral:rRNA from 1 species
CCUACGGGAGGCAGCAGUGGGGAAUAUUGCACAAUGGGGGAAACCCUGAUGCAGCGACGCCGCGUGAGCGAUGAAGUAUUUCGGUAUGUAAAGCUCUAUCAGUAGGGAAGAAAAUGACGGUACCUGAAUAAGAAGCUCCGGCUAACUACGUGCCAGCAGCCGCGGUAAUACGUAGGGGGCAAGCGUUAUCCGGAUUUACUGGGUGUAAAGGGAGCGUAGACGGCGGUGCAAGCCAGAUGUGAAAGCCCUGGGCUCAACCCCGGGACUGCAUUUGGAACUGUGCUGCUAGAGUGUCGGAGAGGCAGGCGGAAUGCGUGGUGUAGCGGUGAAAUGCGUAGAUAUUAGGAAGAACACCAGUGGCGAAGGCGGCCUGCUGGACGAUGACUGACGUUGAGGCUCGAAAGCGUGGGGAGCAAACAGGAUUAGAUACCCUUGUAGUC